rnacentral:tRNA from 1 species
CCCUCUGUAGCUCAGUUGGUUAGAGCGCUGCACCGGAAUCGCAGGGCCGUAGGUUCAAUUCCUACUAGCGGAC